rnacentral:rRNA from 1 species
CCUACGGGAGGCUGCAGUGAGGAAUAUUGGUCAAUGGGCGCUAGCCUGAACCAGCCAAGUCGCGUGAAGGAUGACUGCCCUAUGGAUUGUAAACCUCUUUUGUCAGGGAGUAAAGUGCGCCAUGUGUGGCGCUUUGCGUGUACCUGAUGAAAAAGCAUCGGCUAACUCCGUGCCAGCAGCCGCGGUAAUACGGAGGAUCCGAGCGUUAUCCGGAUUUAUUGGGUUAAAGGGGGGCGAAGGCGGAAUGUCAAGUCAUCGGUAAAAUUUCGGGGCUCAACCCCAUAGUGCCGUUGAUACUGGCGUUCUUGAGUGAGCGAGAAGUAUGCGGAAUGCGUGGUGUAGCGGUGAAAUGCAUAGAUAUCACGAAGAACUCCGAUUGCGAAGGCAGCAUACCGGCGCUCAACUGACGCUGAUGCACGAAAGCGUGGGUAUCGAACAGGAUUAGAUACCCUGGUAGUC